rnacentral:rRNA from 1 species
GAUGAACGCUGGCGAAAUGCUUUACACAUGCAAGUCGUACGAAAGCUUUUAGCUUAAGUGGCGGACGGGUGAGUAAUACGUAAGAAUUUGCCUUUAGGAGGGGGAUAACAGCUGGAAACGGUUGCUAAUACCCCAUAUGCUUUUAAGUGAAAUGGGUUUCCGCCUAAAGAAAAGCUUACGGCUGAUUAGCUUGUUGGUAAGGUAAUGGCUUACCAAGGCGACAAUCAGUAUCUGGUUUGAGAGGAUGAUCAGACACACUGGAACUGAGACACGGUCCAGACUCCUACGGGAGGCAGCAGUGGGGAAUUUUCCGCAAUGGGCGCAAGCCUGACGGAGCAAGACCGCGUGGGGGAGGAAGGCUCUAGGGUUGUAAACCCCUUUUCUUGGGAAGAAGAAAGUGACGGUACCAAAGGAAUCAGCCUCGGCUAACUCCGU